UUUGAUUUGUGCGAUUGAUGCGUCUCUAUGUGAUUCUGCAGCUUCAGGUUCAGGUUCAGAGAUAUGGAGAUAUGGACGCUGGGUACCAGUGUGCUGACUCUCCUGCUUUUGUUGACCGCUUCGUCUCAUGGAAAAGGAACCUGUUCAUGACAUUGAUGGGUUGCUUGCGGUGCUCCUGCUUGUGUCUGCUUAUGUAUUUGUAAAUGUUCUGCAUUUUAUGGUUUCAUGAUUCAGAUAAAAAAUUAAUCAUGUUCCUUAAUGAUUGGUAAGUUUACAUCCCUUUUUUCUUUUCCAUUCCUCCCUUCAAUAUCUCAUUCAAAUUUUUCAGUCAAACACUAUGAUAUUCUAAUACUAACCUACUAUAGGUUUGACAAAUUUAGUAGUUGGCAUUAAGGUGUUUAACUGAAAAAUGCCCUGUACACACUAUAGAGCGCAGGCAUCAUUUAGAAAUUUUAUAUGGACUUACCAAUUCAAAAUAUUUUCGCAUUUAGUUCCCCCUGGUUAUACAUACAACCUGCAUCUUCUCCUUCCUGAUCUAAACAUGGCUAUUCUAAUUACAAGUGCAUGAUAACCAAGUUGUUUUUUACUGUCCCUGUAUGUUUCCUAACAAAACCUAAUCCGUCCUGAACAUUACUAAUGUGGUCUUUUUUAUGUUAUCUCUAUGUUAGACAUGAUGACUAUGGUCCUGUCGACUCAAUGAAGGUGCAGAAACAGUUAGCUGCUGAAACUCCAAUUUCCUAUCGAUUGAAGAAAAAAAAAAGAUAAUGAUGAUUCAUGUGUUUGGGUAUAUUCACACUACAGAGUUAAAUGCAGUGCUAAAAAUGACUUGGUUAGUGGUCUGUUGCUGCUUUGCUGCCCUUGUCAUCUACCUUUUUCCUUAUCCAUAUGCUGGGUGCAGUGAUUUAGUUCACCCUUGCCUCAUACAUGGUGCUUCAACGCUUUGCCCUCGCCACCUCAUCUGAAAAAUGUCACUAUGAAUAAAAGCUAGUGCUUAUCAAGGCGAACUUUUACAAUAUAACAGGGCUAGACCUAGCAGCAGCAAGAACAGCUCACGCAAAUUGCCUUUAUUUGUAUUCAGAUGAAGAUUGAAAUGUGCACUGUAUCAUCUAUCAUGCCCAUGUACCGCUUUUUUUUUAUACAUUUUACAGCAGCUAAACACAUUGUGGUAUAGAAGAGAACUAAUCAUGAAUUAAACAAGGAACGUACACUCUGCAGUUUCUAUUAGACUGAUGUGAUCAAUGGUUCUGAAAAGAUAGCAAUGCAGAUAAAAUUAGAUGUGCCUUCAAUUAGGUGGACUUAUCAUGUAUAAAAUUAGAUGGAGCCAUUCCUGUUACUGUCUCAGGUAUAUAGACUCAAAAGGUUUCGUUGCACUGAUUACACAGGAUAUAUAUGGUUUCAAAUAUUAUUAUUGACAUUAGAUGUGCCUUCAAUUAGGUGGACUUAUCAUGUCUGCUCAUAUGUGUUUGCCACUUUGCCUAUUCUUGACAUACAGAUAAAAUUAAAUAACUAGUGAUACAACAUUUCCUGAUUGAGUUUCAUUUUGGCAAAAUAGAUAGGAUAAAGCUAAAGCUUCCAAUUCAUACCUAACUUACCACAAUAGCUGGCAAUUUAUGUAUAUAUAUUUUAAUGUUCUGACAUAGGCGCCAAGUAGCACUGUUGUUUCAUGAUUCAUAAACAGUUCGGCCCUCAAAAUAGCACUGGCAAUUUAUAGCACUGAUGUAUCAUUGGUCAUUGCCUGUGGUCUACAUCUUCUGUAUGCUAAACACUGACAUUAUCUUUCUAAGAUAUUGGAUAUUUCUCAGUUAUAACUUCGAAAACCUGCCAUUUAGCCUGCUUUAUUCAUAUAUGUAAGAGGCUGUGGGCAUAUAUAAGCAUUUUAAUGGUAUGGCCUCGCUUUAUUCAUAUAUCCUGUGGGCGUCGGAGGGAGAGAGGAUAGAGCGAGGCUGUUUUAGAUCCUAUAUAUGUUCAGGUAUGGCUCCACUGAUGGCCCAUUUAAUAGUUCUAUUUCUGUCGUGCAUGAUUCAACCAUGGGGAUCAGUUAGAACUUGCAAUUCCAGCAUAAGUGACACUUUUUUUUCUUCGGUUCUAUAUUUUCGUGUUCCUAUCAUUCAUGAUUCAACCCUGCUGUUCAGUUAGACCUUAUAGUUUCAGCGUAAAUGGUAGUUUUUCCCUUUAGUUUUGUAUUUCCUCAAUAAAUUCGGUGUACGGAGUUUGGACUAGCUUGUGCUAAAGCCAAACCAGCGAAAGCCCUCGAACUGGUUAACAACUGGUUAACUGGAGAGAUAGUCAUUUGUAAUUUUCUGUUUUCUUUUUUUUCUUUGGGCCUAGCAGCCUUGUUUUCUUUAUGUAAACAUUCUUUCAUUUAUUUAAAAAUAAAAAAAUAUAUGGUGCAGGGUACCAUUUCGGUCAGAAAAAAAAUUCAGUGUACGUAUACCAGAUAGAACUUACAGUUUCAACACAAAUUCUUGUAUGUAUUUUAGUCUGUACCAAUCCAUAGUUACAUACUUUUACACAUAGCAGGCCUUUAUGCUGAUGUAGCGAUCUUGCCAACUUAAUGAGUUCAGUAACCUUGCCAAUGACUUAAAUGUAUUAGGGUGAAUUGACAACUUUAAGGAUUUUAUUUUCUGUUAUAUAAGCUUAAGGUAACACAAAUUGCCAUCAUUCUUUUUUGGUAGGUUCAACACUUGCUGCAGGAUUAUAGUGCAUCUGCUAUAUUAGUUGUAAUCUACAGAAUUAUAUUAUUGAGCUGUAAGCUGUUUCUGUGUUUGUCUGAAUGUAUGGCUGUCUGUAACAUGUUUGGCUCAUUUACUUGGAGACAAUUGAUUUAACGUCUGAAGAUGAUUUACACAUGGAGAUCCAACAAGAACAGGACAAAUCAAUUUUGACAUGAUAGAACCGGGCUACAGCGACCAUGCAGCUGACCCUGCUUCAUUAAUGUUCCCAGGAUCACAAAACAAAGGGACCAAGAAUUUGCAAUCUACACAGAAAAUUAUAACAACAUUCUAAAUCUGUUUCUCCUCCUUCCAUCGGUUCCAUUCCUGCAUGAGGUCACCGGACUUGCUUCAUGUGCUACCUUCAAGAUUCAGAUUGAUGGACCAGUGGUGGCCAAAACCAAAAAGGACAUGAACCAACUGGACCAUGCAUUUCAGACCUUAUGCUUAAUUGGAAGCACUACAAGUCAAUUUUCAUAAUAACCUUUUUAGGAACACAUUGAAGGAAAUGAUCAUAUUCAAGGUUCAUCUACAAGACCACUUACCACAAUUAUUUGGGAAUUCAAUGCGGGUUUAGAGAUGGUGAUUUUUAAGGCUUUGUUAA